ACCAGGUAUAUGAGCGUUGCAUUUUGGGAAAUGAAGAUGCUAUGAACGCUAAUGGAGAAAACGCUAACGCUCGCGCGACCUCUUUCAAACCAAAGAAAAACUGACGAGUUCCAGACUGCUCUAAUCAGCGAAUUACAUCUGAGUUCUGUGUGAUACAAGUGUCUGACAGAAUUGAUGUCAAGGAGGAUUCGGCCUGAUUCAAUGAGGGAUUGAGGACCAAUUUUUUUCAACUUCAGCCAACUGUUGGAGCAUCACCCAAAGCAGAUAAGGUCGUGGAGGAAAAGACGUUAGUUUGACCAAUAAGCUACAUUGUAGCUUAUGACACAAUUGAAGUGGGCGUCAACUGUUCCUCCGGCUUUUGGCACAUUUAAAUGGAGGCCAGUAUCCGGACGAGUCCAGGUUACCUGCUGAUAUCGACAAAGAGAAGCACAGGAUAAAUUGCCACUCAGUGACGGUAUGAAUGUGGGUGCCAAUGGUCGUCUGUCUCUUUGUGUACCCUGUGAUUAAUCAUUUCAGCGUGCUGCCCGUCUUCCAUUGCAAGUAUUGGUGGCUCGGUGGUAGAGUUUUCGCACGCUGCGCGGGAACCCCGAGACUGAUGCCCGGGCACGCCGAUGCAUCUUGGGGUAGCCUUUGCAGCUAGCCUCGCAUCGGGGCAACAGUUCCGCUACGACAACGCGAGCAGACCAGGAUAUACGGUGUUGGAAAUGUCCCACACUACAACAAAUCAUUAUUUUAUCCACACUGGUUUGAGUGCAAUAUUGUUGUGGUUGGUUCGUUGUUUAAAAUGUGUAAAAGAAAUAAUGUUUGUUUUGCAUGUGGGAUGAGAAUUCAGUAAAACGGCAUGUGAGGGACUAACUUGUCCCCCCCCUCCACAGUACUUAAGUUACUGAAUAUGUAUAUAAAAAUGGAUCUUAAGCUACUAUACCGAGUGUGGUUUGAUUGUCAAUAUCAGUUUGCAUAUGACUGAUGAAAAAGGUAAAAUUUCAGAUUUGAAGAAGUCCAUUGGAACUGUUUUGAAAUAAUAAAAAAAACCAUCCCACCUUGUUUCCAAUUGCCAAAUAUAUAUGCCUUGUAGACUGAAGUGCAAAUUGUGUUUAUUCACAGAUGCAAGACAGU